UUUCUCUUUGCAUUUGCAGAGCAGCACCGAGUCUGAGAUUCAGAUCACACAAAGGUCCUAAACGUGCCGCCAAGUGCAAUAGAUUAUCGCCAAACAUGUCUGUUCUAUAGUUAAUUUUAUUUCCACAGAGAGUAUGCAUGAGUUGGAACACAUUGUGUUUGCGAUGAAUAACCGCAUACGAAAAUAUGUCUCUUCCAUGAUCGUCCAUUGCCCAUAAGAGGUCAUGGUUAGCCUCCCUCAUAGCAUUUAUGAACUCAACAUUUCCAUGCUUUGCUGCUUCCAACAUGGCAUCAUACACCGAAGCAUCCCGAAGUUGUGAACUAUUGAACUUCGAAAUAAUAUCUUUAUAAUACCUUAGUAUCUGUAGAAAUUCAUUCUUGUGUCGAAAUACACUCUCCCUCAGUAUUUUUUCCCAUAUUUCUGAAACAAUGGGAGGUAAAACAAAAUUACUUAUGAUUUGGUUUUACUAACAAAUUUGAUCAUUUCAACCAACAAAACAAUUUCAGAAUUAACCUCCAGAAUGUUAGACUUCGUAGACAAAAUUUAUUGUAACUAAUGAAUCUAAAUAGUUACCAUUAGUGUAAUUUUAAAUUGAUUAUUACAUUUUUUUUAAGUUGUUUGAGUUUGUAUUUUUUUUAUAACAGUUUAAUACGCUAAUCCAACUUGAUUUGGAAUUCAAAUUAAAGAAUAAAAAAGUAUCAUCACAUCUUUAAUCCUUAACAAACAUUAUUUUAAAAUCCAUAUCCAAGUAAACUAAAUAUGAUUUUAGUGUAAGCAAACUUUGAAGUUUAAAAAAACGUCUAGACAAAAUAGUGUCUAAUAACGUUUAAACCGUUUAGGAUAAAAAUGAAAAAUUUAAAUGCUGUAUAGUAAAAAUAUCUUAAAUGUUAUAAGUCAUUUAAACACGUGUCUAGAUGAUAGUACACAUAUAAUAUCUAAAUGUUUAGGAUUGUCUAACACUUUAAUGUAUGUACAUAGAUGUAUUCUUUUGUCUCUUGUAUUGUGUUCUCUUUUUCUGUGCAGAUCUUAUGACAUAUCACUACAAAUAGACUCUUGUGUUGCAAUGAAUAUUCUUUCAAACACUUACAUCCAACACAAAACAAAUAAAAGCUUCAAAGAUGUUCCUACUUUCCAAGACCCUGAUCAUUUAUUUGAUUUAAGGUGUAUAAUUCUUGGGAGCUAUAUUUUUCAUCUACUCAUUAUCAUAACACUUGUUCUAACUUGUGUUAAGAUGAGUAUUUGACCUCGGCGGAAAAGAGCACAAUGACUCCAAAGAAGAAGAGGAAGUUUGCCUUACUCUAAGUUGAAGAUUUGAGGAUAAAUCCUUUUUAAGAGGGAGGAGAUGAUGACAUACCCCCUAGCCAUGUUCAAGCAUCUACAAGAAGAGUUGAAGUCAUCCAUGAAGAUGGUUUAAACUCAAUCGUUUGGACCACCUUUGAAGUCAUCAUGGAGUAUAGCUUGGAGUAGUAUAAGUUUCUUUAGGCCAUGUAUUUUGACCAAGUAGUGUAGGUUUCUUUAUGCCAUGUAUUUCGGCCAAAUAGGUAGGUUUGUUUAAGGAUUGUAUUAAGGCCUAAUUAGUAUAAGAUUUUUCCGUAGACUAGACAUCCAAACCAUGUGGAAAGUAUGUGACACGUGUCAUGCUUCCAUUGAAGAGGAUUUAGCUUUAGAAGUGGUCAUAUGAUACUCUAGGAAUGGAGAGGAUUGUGCUUUAUGAGUGACCACAUGUCCUUCCCUCAGUAAAGAGGAUUUAUGGGCACUUGUCCACUUCUUAAAGGGCCUCAUUUUCAGCCAAUGAGUGCAAGGGUGAAAGAUUAUGCUUUUAGGAGACACCCUUACUUAUAUAUAGAGGUGUCUGCUCUCUUGUAAUCAAUCAUCUUUGAUGUUAAAUAAUGUUUUGUCCAUUUUUGGCCAUACUAUUCAUCUUAGAUCAAGACUAGAGCAACCCAUGAGGUCCCUCUAGUCACCUUCCUCUUAAAUUUGGCCUAACCUCUCUUAGAGCAUCAUUAAACAUCACCUUCAUCACCAUCAAACAUCACAAAACUGAGCUUAACUCCCUUGUCCACCAAAGCUUUCGCACCAAUCAUCGAUUCACCUAUCUCAAUGGCUUUCCUUUUAGUUUUGACACAACCUAACCAGGAGAUUGCCAUCAAGAUUACUACCUUUAUUUAGAAGAACGUUAAAACAUAUGAAGAAAUUCUAGAAAUGUUUCAUUUAUACCUUCUAGCUAUCUCUUUUGUACAUAGCACAAUUGUCUUUGCAAGAUGCAAAAUUGCAUCUAACCUAGUACAAAAGGCUACAUCCCUACGUGAAAGUCAAAAGUUCUAAGUAACGAAUCUUUUUCGAAGAAGUCUAUAUAAAGAAGACUGCAUGAAGAGAAGAAAAAAUAGAAUUAUAUGUGUGCAUACUCUCUUGCUGUUGUUUUCUCUAAAGAAUACAUUGUCUAAUGCUUGUUCUUUGAAAAAGAAAAAUUAUUCACAAGUUUUCAAAAUCUCUUUAUAUUGAUUUCAUAUCCUCUCUACAAGAGUUAUAUAUUCUGUUCUUGUAAUUUAUAAGACACUUUAAUUUUUUCAUAUUCUAAGUUUAACUCAAUGUAGUUAAACCGUCUAGUCAAUUAGACUAGUUCAUACUAUAAGUGGUUAUACUUGUCCUAACUAGUUGGGUUAGUUAUAUAUCAAAAGUGAUUAAACUCGAUGUAAUUCUUUGUGAUUAGUGAAACAUCUUAAGAGUUCCUAAAGAAAAGCAGGAUGUAAUUCAGUUUAGAGCGAACCAAUAUAAAAAUAAGUGUGACUUGUUGCCUUUAGUUUUCAAAGAUUUUAUAGCCCAAUGUUGUUUUAAAUUCUUAAAUGUUUAACAACUAUUCCAAACUGUCUAACCUAUGAAAAAAAAAUUAAACAGUUUUCUUAAAAAAAAAUAAAACCCUAUUCAAACUCCUAUUUUUAGAGAUUUCCUUAAGUUACGUAUUGAAGUUAGUUCAAAUAAAUAUGAUCCAAAAAUGGAUGCUUGAAAUUGAGCACGCGUGUUUAUUUUAUAUGUUUAUUAUGAAAUUAAAUUUGAUUGACUCAAUCCGUUUAACUCAUGAAUACAUUAUUAAUUUAAUUUUAAUUAGACACACAAAAUUAUAUCAAUUCAACCAAAUAUUGAACUUGGUGUAGGUUGAAUAGAACUUGUUUAUACUAUUAUUAGUCUGUAAAUUCAAAUUGCUUGGUUAUACACAUGGCAUCAUGUAAUAACAUAAUGAUUUAAAUGUUUUUAUUUCUUAUAAAAUUAUCCAAUCUUAACUUUAUACCUCUUAAAAAAGCAUCAGACUUUAAGUUUUCAAACAGUUAAUUUUUCUUUUAGAUUAUUGUUACUUAGCAUUUGUUAUCAACAUAUAUAAUAUGUUUAUUCAAAUGUGACCUAACAAUAGCAAGUAGCACCUUUUAAUGUCCAUGAUAUAAGGUAACAAGGUGAUUUCUUUAAAAAGAUUUGUAAAUCUUUAAAAUAAAUAUUAUUUGUGUACUUUAAAACAAAAUUUAAGAUAGAAAAUAAUUAUUUCAGAUUUUGAAGAAACUAAGAUUAAGAAAUAUUUUACUAAAUUAAAACCAAAAUGUAUUCAUUUUAUAAACAUUAAACACAAUACACACUAAAAAAAAUCUUCAAAUGACAACCAAUUUUAAAAACAAAAAAUAAUUAAUUAUUAUAUCACUAAUUUAAAUACAAAUUUAUAAACUUAAAAUUAUUGGUAUCUAAUAUAGUUUUUAUUAUAAAUAGAAAACUGUAAUUGAUUUGUGAAUUAAAUUAUAAAUUAGUUACUAACAUUAACUAUCUAAAUUUUUACUACCAAAAAAAUUAGAAUUAAUUUUUAAUUAACUAGUGAUUAGACAUUAAUAUCUUAUUACACCCAUAAUACUCUCUAAUAUAUAUAUAUAUAUAUAUAUAUAUUAUGAACUGUUUUUCAAUCAAUUUUAGACAAUCAUUUCAAAACAGACAUACUUGAUUAUUUAAAAGUAAUGAUUUUAAUUUAACUUUCCAAAUUAAUAAUUUUACGCGUCAAUAUUCGUUUAAAUCACUUAUAGAUACAUGUUUACAUAUGCGAUCCUAUGUAAAUAUGUGAUAAACUCAAGAAGAUGACCGAAAGAAACAAAGCAAUACUUACUCGGAUACCGAAAAAUUGUAAGAAAAAUUAUAAAAAUGUGCAUAAUUGCCCCAAUGACAUCGAUUAAAGUACCUGAAAGAACCAUAAGAAGAAGUUUAAGUCAGUCGCAUUCUGUUCUUAAUAAUUGAGUGUUAUAAACUAUUAUUCAAUUAUAUGUUUCCCUGACCUCAUUUGGGUAUAUGCUUUAAGUCUUAAUUUAUUUCUCUCAUUAUUCAACAUGAAUUUCAAUAUUUUUUAAGAAUAUUAUCAACACAUAAAACAAUCUUAUAUCACGAUAUCAACUUGAAUUUGUGAAAUUAAUAUAUUUUUAUAAUAUUUUUAAUUAGUACAAUUUUUCAUCAAAUUUAUUUAUUUUAUCUAUGUUUUUCACUCAUUUAAGUAAGUGAAGAUAACUCCUUUACCUUUUUUUGUUAUUAUUAUCCAUUUGAAAACGGGUUAAAUAUGUUUUUAGUCCUUAUACUUUGGGGCGAUUUUGGUUUUAGUCCCUCUUUCAAACUAUAGUACAAUUUAGUCCUUCAACUUUAGAAAACUCUGGUUUUAGUCUUUUUUAUCAAAAUUUUUAAACUUUAUUUGUUGUUUCAAGCACGUCACAGUAUAGCAUUUGGAUUGUUUACACUGUUUAACACAUUUUUGCUUCAAUGUUAACUGAGAAACGCGUUUGAAACAGCAAAUAAAGUUAAAAAAAUUUGGUAAAAAGAACUAAAACCAGAAUUUUUUAAAGUUGAAGGACUAAAUUGUAUUAUAGUUUGAAAGAGGGACUAAAACCAAAAUUGUCCCAAAGUAUAGGGACUAAAAACAUAUUUAACCCCUUGAAAACACGUUUUCACUACUAUAAUUUUAUUUGACUUUCUCCUUUACAAGUAUUUUAGCUUAUGUAUUACAUACAUAUUUGCAUGAGUGAGAUAGAAAUAUAACCGUUACACUAUUGUUCUUAAAAUAGGUUUUUAAUGCUGAAAAGAGCAGCUAACUUGAAAAACUAAUAAUCACUUUAUCAUAUUUAAAUUAUAUUACAAGUAAUUUCAAAAACAUAUUUUGACUUAUUUUUUGGUGUGGAAUAAUAUUCCAAGAUCUUAGACUGGCAUUUGUAUGUUCCAAAAGGUUUCAAUAUCUUCUUUCAAAAAUUUUCUCUAUAUACUCAAAUGUUCUUGAAGUCUUUAUCGUUAUGAUUGGAUGCAAUUAAACUCAAACUUAUGUAACUUUUAUUAUUGUGUUUGCUGCACGUGUGAAAUUGUUCACCUAUUUUUUAUUCAAUUGGUAUUGAUUUUUUAACCUAGAAUUUUUGGGGGGAAAAGCAAUAGAAAUUACACUAGGAAUAAGUCAAUUGCAAUUAGUUUUUCUUUUUAAUUCUUGAUUAAGAUUCAGUAUUCGAAUGCAUAAAAUUGAUCUCAUGAUUAAAAUACUAUUUCAAUUAUAAUUUUUCAUUUUUAAAUACACCAUUCUAAUUUAUUGAUAAAUAAUUUUUCAUCAGUUAUUAAAGAGAUUAUGAAAGUAAAAAUUCUAUGGAUUAAUGCUUUCUUCCAAAAAAAAAACAUAAUUGAAUGGCUAAUUAAUGCAAGAGAAAAAGAGAGAGCAUUAGUUAAAAAAGAGGGAAAUACUACCAUUUUUCAAACUGUCAACCAUUGUCUGCCAAAGGCUGGCCUGUAAAUAUGCAGAAGGAAUUCGAGCCAAUUCUUGCAAGACGGGUAAGGAUUCAAUGGGCAGUUCAUCGUAAGAUUUAAGCAAUUUCAAAGCCACAUCUGCGAGUUCAAACCAUGCAACCAUUUCAAAAUUAACUUCUUUUUUCUUAAACAUGCUAUCAACUGCAACUAGUAGGAAGAUUGAGGGUUUGGAGAAAAAAACGAGGGAAGCAGUGUAUAUGGAUGUACUGUGGUUCAUUUGCUUACCAAAUAUAUGCGCUUGGAUGCAUCGUUCCAGAAGCAAAACACGAUUGUGUAAAGACUGCUGAUCAAUGACAUCGGAAGAAGUUCUAAGGAAAAGUAAACGAGUCAUUCUUUUGCGUCCUGAAUUAGCAGCCAUAAGAAGAGGGAUCUCACCCUCUUUGUUCUCUAUAGCAAGUAGUUCUUUACCACCUUCCGCAUUUAUAAAAAAUGUUGCUAUAUUAAUGUUUCCAGUAUAACCAGCAGCAAGAGCAAGAGCAGUGUUACCAUCUUUAUCCUGCAUUUCUAGUAAUUGAUUAUUUCUGUGCACUAAUCUCUUCACAAUUGUGAUAUGUCCUUCUAUUGUUGCAACAUGAAGAACCGUCCUACCUGAAGGCGGAACCCAAAUUAUGGCAUUCGGUUCACCCCUCAAGUAUGAGCUUGUGCCUUCCCAAUCACCGGUUUGCACAAACUUGUAUAAAGCUUUGUGCUCACUAAAGUCUGAUACAACAUCUGUGUGCGUCUCAUUCACAUCAAAACAUAAAUAAUAUAUUUUGAGUUAAUACUAUGUGUAAAUGUAUACUUUAUAUAAAGAAAGUUUGAAGAUCUAAACACUUAGUACCGUGUAGAAUAUGCUGAUGGACUUUAAACUCAGACCUGCAGACAUUAGCCAAGUGAUUCCAAGCUAUGUGGGAAGUUUGAAAGUGUUUAAUUUGAUCGAAAAUAUUUGGUGCACAUGAUAGUUGAAUAAUAUGCAGAGCCUUUGCGUUUCUCUGUGCAUCAAAAACAGAAUCACUCUCCACAACUUCCCACAGAUUUUCACCCCUCAAAUAGUUUUCCAUUAGAGUUUUCCAUUCUUGAUAGUUGUAUCUUGUGAGCACUUCACGAACUAUCCCUCGAGAUACAACACCAAUGCUUUCCAUUACACUGUCUUGCCUUUCCUUGCUUCACAUCCUUUAUAUAAAGUGAGAUAAUAACAUAAUUUUGUUUCUAACUGCUUGUAUGGUGGAUUGUGCAAGGAAGGAUAUUUUUGAAAAUAAAUAUUUUCACACUAAUUUUUUUACAACAUUUGAUACUGCAUAAGUGUUUUUCUUAGUACUUUCGUUAUUUACUUUUUAUUGUACUUACAUAUUCUAAAUUCAAUGAUAUAUAUAUAUAUAUAUAUAUAUAUAUAUAUAUAUAUAUAUAUUGUGUACUAAAUGUUGUAAAAAAAAAAAAAACUGUAUUAUCGUUAUCAUUGUUCAUUAUUUUUUGUAAAUUUCUCAAAAACGACUUUUUUACUCGGUUGAAGGUAAAGGGCAGCGAUACUUUGACAAGGAGAAAACGACAAAAACAUCGUGUCAAAUGACUGUUUUUUUAAAGACUGUCAAACAAAUUUUUUCCUAAAGUAAACGUGGACUUUCAUUGACAUGAAUCAUUGUACUCUAUAAGUAACUGUGUCAGACAACUUUUUAUUAUUUCUACACGUAAACUAUUUAUUAUUUCUACAACAAACAAACGUGUAUGAUUUUAAUUCUUCUUCUUUAAUAUAUAUAUAUAUAUUAUUUUUUUUUAAAUCAUAUAAUUUUAUAUAUAAUAAUAUAAAAAUCCUUUUUCACAUUUAUUUGUAGUGCACAAUUAGUGUUAAAGAAACUUAGUCACAAUCAAUUCAAACAUUGUUCCAUACUAUAUUUUAGACAAAAUUCAUUUAAGGUAUUUUAGACAACAUUCAUUUAAGUCGUUUUAGAUUUUAAAGCAUCACGACAAGUUAUCUCUAAGUCAUUUUAAAGCUUAUCAAAAACUCUUUCAUUCUCACAAUAAUGUUAAAUAAAACAAAUCGUUCGUCUAUUUAACAACGUAUUCUAUUCAAAUUCUUUAUAGAUAUACCUAUUUGUAUUUGAUAUUUUUAAAAUAUAAAUGAUGAAUGUUAUAAAUCAAUUAUUACCAAUAUAGUUGUUAACAACUCAAAAAUAAAGUCUAACAAUUUGGCUAUUUUGUAUUAAUAUAUCUUCAAUAUCAUUUUUUUUAUCAAUAAUAGAGAAAUGAUGAAUAAAAGGGUACUUAGGGUGUUGUAAUACUUUUAAAACACAUAAGAAAAUAUAAAAUUACAAACAUAAAGAUCAUUCAACAUAUUCCAAAUCAUAAAAUAGAAAAAGUAUGUUUAUCUCUAAUGCUAUACACACAUUCCCUUUUAUAGAGAAAAAAAUUGUCUUAUUUCCUUUCGUGUCAUGUCUUAUAAUUAUACAUCCUUUAACUAAUUAAUUAAUUCAAUUUCGACUUCUACACGAACUUCUAGUACCUAUUGAAUCUCUCUUUGGACCUGCAUCUUCCUAUUAAGAGUAAUUAUGUCUGACCUUGUAUGCAAUCGAUACCUAAAGUUACUUUACAUACAUGAUCAUCAGCUUGUGACUCUCAUGAACAUUUCGAGAACUUCCACUUGUUUGGACCAAUUGGGUGUGAUUUAAAAGGAUCCAUCAUUUUUCUCUUUUUAAUGUACUUGUAUUUUUAUAUAUUAGUCAUUAUCAAAAUUCUUUUCAUUAUAUCGUACUAUUUUUUUUUUCUUCCACACGUUGUUUGUCUAAUAUUUUUCUACAGAUUUUGCAUUUUGUUAUCUCCUUUAAAUUUAUGUGCAAAAACAUAUAUGUAAUAUUUUCACCAGACAUGUGGAAAGGAGAUUCUUAGUUAAAACAGUCACAAAAACUUGGAAUAGAUUGGGCGCCUGUACAGUUCACACUUAAAAACUGAUUCAGACAUUGAAAAAGGUAUUUAUGCAUGUAAAUCACUUUGGUUUGAGCUAAGUUAUGAAACUUCAGUUCUAUGUUUCAAGAAUAAAUGCUUCAGAUGAGCAUGAAUUUCAUGAGAUAAAAUCAAAAAGUUUUUCUUUUGUUUCUUCUUUUCUCUCUGUCUCUAGAUUUUGCGAAAUCAAUUGUUUGAUAAAUUUUUUUUCAUAUAUUAAUAACUACACUUAAAUUAAGUAAACUAAUUAAAUAUACUUUCAGUUUUUUAUUUUUAUUUAUUUUUUUAAUGGAAUGUAUAGCUGUCAAAAGGGAAGGAUAUUUUUGUACAUUUCUCAAAAAUGACUUUUUUAGUCCUCUGAAUACUUGGUAAACUGCAAAUAAUUUGAAGUUGUUGUACCAAUCACUGCAUAAAGUAAAUGUCGACUUUAAUUGACUUGGAAUUAUUGUACUCUAUAAGUAAAUGCGUUAGACAACUUUUAACUUAAGUCUGUGAUAAAAAUAUAAUGAUUUCUUUCAACAAAAGAUUGUAGUUAUUGUUUAGUUACAAAUAACCAUUAAAGCUUUGUAUAAUUAAACAAUAAAUGGUUUUUAUUCUUUGAUGAUAAUUAAAAAUAGUAGCAUAAUGCUUAAUAACUUUUCAACCUAUGUGAUAAUAAAAAUAAAAAAUGAAAAACUUCCCAAUAUCAAGAUAGUAGAUGAAAUAUACCAUACAAAGAAGACUCGAUGACCUUGCUGUACCAAUCAAUCCACGAUGAAAGAAGCAAAGACGCCAUACCUGAUAGAAGAGUUCCGCAGAUCUUCCCUAACACAGUGAAGCAGAAGGAAGGAGGCAAAAAUAGAUGCACACAAUGAAGUGGGAAGUAUAGAGAAAAGGAAAAAGCAAGGUACGAGAUAACAAUCGAAUACGAAAAAUUAUUAUUGAAAUUGUGUUAUGUCAGUGAGUACAAGAGAAUAGAAUAAAAUGGGAAAAAGGAAGAUGGGCUGGGCCGCUAGCCAGAGGGCUCAAUUAUAGACAUUAUCACCCAACAGUAUAUACGUGCUUGCCAACACACUGUUUAUUGUUUCUUGAACAAAUAAACUUGUACUAUGAUCUUAGUUCUUCUUCAAUAUAUGUCAUUAGUGAAAAACAAAAAAAAUUCUACAACGAUUUAUUAUCACAGGUGAAAUACACCAGUCAUAAUACGUGGAUAUGCUAAUAAAAUUGAAACAUAAUAGAUCUUAUUAUGACGGUUAGUUCAUUAUUGGUCAUAAUAUAUUAAACAUUGUGACAUUUUCAUAAUAAAAUUAAAAAUAUAUUAUAACAAGUAGUAAAUCAACUGUUAUAGAAUUUGAAUAUCUAAUUUUUGUCUCUCUUUAAUUUUGCAAUCUAAUUCACGUGCCCUUAUCUUCAGGUUCUUUCUUUCUUAGUUUAACUUGUUCACGUUGUUCUUCUCUUCACUUUACGUUAUGCUCAUAUUGCAUCCAUGCCGUAGCCUUCCCACAUUGUUGGUUUUUAACACCCUUGUCUUUCAGAAAGUGAUAUGAACUCUAAUCUGAAUCCAAACAAAGGGUCCUCUACUAUGUGUCCCAUUGUUUGCCUUCUUCUCUUUGUCGUCAACUCUGUGUUGAAAAUAACAAACUUAAAUAUAGAAAACUAUAUUAAGAAAUUUCUUUAUGUCCGUAUAUUUUUUAAUGGUCAUAAUUAUAAUUGAAUGUAAACCAUUAUUUCUUUAGUAGUUAGAAACUUAUAUAAAGAGCUUCUUUAUUCAAAAGAAAUAAUAAUAAUAACAAGUAGUUUGUUAUAAAGUUUCUUCCCUUCUCCUAUUUUAAGUAUUUUUAGUGAAUUUAGGAAUCAACAAAUUUCUGUUCCUACAUCUGGUAUCAGAGCCAGAUCAAAUAUUUGUGAUUACAUCAUGACAAGUAACAUUCAAGUUCCACUUCCAAAAUUGACUGGAGAAAAUUAUGAUACCUGGGCAAUCCAGUUGAAGGUAUGUUUCCGCUCUCACGAUUUGUGGGAUUUGGUGGAAAAAGGCUUUGCAGAUGUUACAUACUCAACAACAUUUGAGUCCCUUAGUAGAGAGGAGAAUAAUGCAUUGAUAGAAACACGUAAAAAGGAUCAGAAAGCAUUGUAUUCUAUUUUCUUAUAGCAGUUGAACAAAAGACGGUAUUUCAAAAGAUAUCAUUCGCAGAAACAUCACAUGCAGCAUGGGAUAUUCUACAAAAAUCCUACAAAGGUGAUGAUAGAGUCAGACAAGUUCGUUUGCAAACACUUUGAGUAGAGAGGAGAUAGAAACACGUAAAAAGGAUCAGAAAGCAUUGUAUUUUAUUUUCUUAGCAGUUGAACAAAAGACGGUAUUUCAAAAGAUAUCAUUCGCAGAAACAUCACAUGCAGCAUGGGAUAUUCUGCAAAAAUCCUACAAAGGUGAUGAUAGAGUCAGACAAGUUCGUUUGCAAACACUUCGAGGCACUUUUGAGAAUUUGCACAUGGUCGAGGAAGAAACAAUUUCUUCCUACUUUGACGUUUUCAAUCCAUUGUUAAUCAACUACGAAGCAAUGGAGAAAUUAUUAGUGACCAACGUGUUGUAGAAAAAUUAAGAAGAUCAUUGAGUCAUAAAUUCGAUCAUAUUGUGACAGCUAUUGAAGAAGGACAUCAUCUAUCCACAUUAUCAUUAGAAAGGAUAUUAGAUUCGCUAUCUUCACAUGAACAAAGGAUGAAGCAACGAACUAAUAAUCCUAACUUUGAGCAAGCUUUGCAAAGCAGGGUGAAUUUCACCAAUCGUGGUGGAUACCAAGGUGGUAAAGGUCGUGGACGUGGUCGUAAUCGAGGAAGAGGUAAUUUUUCCUCACAUAGGGAUAACAUUGGAGAGAGUAGUUAUUCAGGUGGAAGAUCAAAUUUCAAACAUGACAAGUCCAAAGUAGAUUGUUAUAAAUGUAAGCAGUUAAGCCAUUAUGCAUCUGAAUGUCGAACUAAAUUACAAAGAGAACAUGGAGAACAUGCAAAUGUAGUUGAAACUGAAGAAAGUAUGGUACUUGUCUGUACACAAGGUCUAGAUGUUGAAAACAAUGAUAUUUGGUAUCUUAAUACAGGAUUUAGCAACCAUAUGACGGGAAAAAGGGAAUUUUUCUCUUUCUUGGAUGAAUCGGUGAAAGGUGAAGUGAAUUUUGGAAACAAAUCCAAAAUUCGUGUGAUGGGUAAAGGUAAUAUUAGUAUCCAAUCUGAAAAUGGAACUAAUGUUACUAUUGCAGAUGUAUAUUAUGUGCCAGGAUUAUUCUGGAAUUUAUUAAGCAUGGGAGAACUUUCAGAAAAAGGGUACAAAGUUCGUAUAGAUAACAGAGUUUGUGAAAUUAUGAACAAAGACAAUAAAAACAUCGCAAGGGUAAAAAUGACAAAGAAUCGCAUGUUUCCUUUGUCACUUCAAACGAGAUCUUUGAUGAAUUUUCAAGCUAUGGUAAAGGACGAAAAUUGGUUAUGGCAUCUUCGCUUUGGUCAUUUGAACUUUAGAGGUUUGAAGUUAUUGGUACAGAAGCAAAUGGUGACUGGCCUUCCACUCAUUAAUGCUCCCGAUAAUCCAUGUAAAGGUUGUAUUCUUGGAAAGCAUCAUAGAGACUCGUUUGUAAUUGGAAAGUCUGUGCGAGAAAAGAAACCUUUAGAAUUGAUUCGCACUGAUAUAUGUGGACCAAUUGAGGUAGAGUCAGUUGAAAAUAAAAGGUAUUUUUUACUUUUUGUUGAUGAUUAUAGCAAAAAGAUAUGGGUAUAUUUCUUGAAAGAAAAGUCUGAAGCGUUUAACAAAUUUAAAGAAUUUAAGGCGCUUGUUGAAAAACAAAGUGAAUUAUGUCUGAAAACAUUAGAUCAGACAGAGGAGGAGAAUUCACAUCGAAUGAGUUUAAUGAUUAUUGCAAGAAAGAAGGAAUUCAUCGUCAAUUGACAGCAAGUUAUACACCUCAACAAAAUGGUAUAGCUGAAAGAAGAAUAAAACAAUUUUUGAGAUGGCUAGAAGUAUGUUAAAAGCAAAGCAUCUUCCAAAACCUUAUUGGGCAGAAGUUGUUGCAUGUGCUGUUUAUAUACUGAACAGGUGUCCGACAAAAAGUGUCCAAGGAAGAACACCUCAAGAAGCAUGGACUGGAAAUAAGCCAGAUGUGUCUCACUUACGUGUAUUUGGGUGCAUUGCAUAUGCCCAUAUACCUGAUGAAAAGAAGAAGAAGCUUGACAAUAAAAGUGAGAAAUGUAUUUUCGUUGGAUUUUAUCCCUUUGUUAUAUAGUGAUGUAACAAAGGGUUAUAAAUUAUAUAAUCCAGAAACAAAGAAAGUGAUCAUUAGUAGGGAUGUUCAUUUUAUUGAAGAUGAAGAAUGUUAGUGGGAUGAUGAUAAUAAUAAUACUGUCAUUAUCAAUGAAGCACCAAUAAAUGAGACGUUUCUAGAAACUUCUCCCUCAAUUAGCAAUCCAAUAUCAACACCCACAAGCAACAGAUUCAAGGCCAUCAAGACGUCCACAAAGAAGACAUGUGCCACCAGCACAAUUGCAAGAUUAUGUGUUAGGAAGAGACGAUGAUGAUGACAAUGAUUUGAAUGAAGAUUCUCUAGCAAACUUUUGUAUGUUUGUAGAUUGUGAUCCAGUUUCAUUUCAAGAUGCAACAACAGAUGAAAAGCGGAUCCAAGCCAUGAAAGAGGAGAUCCACUCAAUAGAAAAAAAAUGAGACCUGGGAACUUACUACCCUACCAAUUAGAAAGAAGCCGAUAGGAGUUAAAUGGGUGUACAAGACAAAGUAUAAACCUGAUGGUAAGGUGGAUCGUUACAAGCAAAAGCCAGGAAUUGAUUAUUUUGAGGUAUUUGCAUCAGUUUCAAGAAUGGAUAUUGUGCGGAUGAUUUUAUCCCUUGCAGCUCAAAAUAAAUGGAACAUCUAUCAAAUGGAUGUAAAGUCAGCAUUUCUGAAUGGUGUACUUCAAGAAGAAGUAUAUGUUGAGCAACCACUUGGCUUUAUAAAGAAAGGAGAUGAAAAGAAAGUUUAUCAUCUUAUAAAGGCUUUGUAUGGGUUAAAACAAGCACCACGUGCUUGGUAUUCUCGUAUUGAUACAUAUCUAGUGGAGGAUGGUUUUCAUAAAUGUGAUCAUGAACAUACAUUAUAUAUCAAACAUAAGACAAAGGGUGAACUCACUAGCGCAAAAAUGCUUUUUAGUGUCACCCAUAAGACGUCGGUUUGCGUGUAAUCCGACGUAUAGGAGCAGACGGUGACAUUAUCGUAAAUAGCCUGGUAAACUAGAUGUUGGUUUUAUCCAAAAGCAGACGUCUAUUAAUUUCAAGACGUUAGCAUUGCAGCAUCCCGACGUCUACUGGGCUGCAUUUAAUGCUUUUCACCUAAUUCUCAGGCGCUUAGACGUCAUGUAGUCCAAAUCUGACGUCUAAGGCAUGUUUGGAAGGCGGGAAAGACAAAAAAAUCUUCAAUGUUGACGUCGGGGUUUCGGGCUACGCGACGUCUAUUAUACCUGUAAUAAUUAUGUUUACAAAACUUGAGGGCCGGAGACGUCGGUGGCCCAUACCAACAGUCGUGAACAUCCCUGACAGGAUAUAUAUCAAACGUCAAUCGGUUCAGCUUCCUAGACUUCGGUUCCCCCUGACAGAAACCGAAGUCUAAUGGGUAUUCAAAAAGUCAGUUUUAAAUGUUCACUUGGACGUCACAUUAGUAGGAUAACCGACGUCUAUAGACGUCGGUUUCUGGAGAAUAACCGACGCCCAAUUCCAUUUUAAAUACACCGCAACCCUUCGCGGCAUUCAAUAUCUGAUAUCGAUCGUCUUCCUCUUCUCCUUUUUCUCUUGCCACACCUCUUCUUUUUCUCUCUUUUCGGCAUUCUAUUGUUGUUUCCCGUCUUCCUCCUCUCCUUUUUCUCUCUUGCAUCCCAGGUGCGUGGUUUUUUUUUUUAUGCUUACAGUUUAAACUUUAUUUAGUCUUUCAUCUAUUAUCUUGUGGUUGAACUGAUUAAAAUUUGCUUUCUUUGUGUUGUGUUUUAGUGCAAUUUUGAUCCUCUCUUUGGGUAACAUAGUACAACAUUCUCCCUUUGCUAGUUUCCUCACAAGAAGAGUGGAGAUCUUUUGAGUUUUCUAUGGCUUCUCGACCCAAAAUGGAACUUGGGUCCUUGUCUAAUUCUUGUGUCACCGUAAUUUUUUUCUUUUGCGGUUGAAUAAUGGGAAGUAGUCAUGGACCCACAUUUGGUUUUGGGUUGAAAUGUCAUAGAAGAUUCAAAAGACGCAAGCUUUUUUUGUGGGGAAGCUAGUGAGAGGACAAUGUUGCACUAUGCUACCGAAAGUCUGGAUCAAAACAACACUAAAACACAACGCCUUUGUUGGACGUCGGUUAGUGCCAAGUCCGACGUCUAUAAGGAACAUAGACGUCGGUUAGUGUCAUUUUAAACCUCUAUAUAUUCAUGUAAACGUCGGUUUUAUGCAUAGGUGGACGUCUAUAUAGAGAAAUUAGACGUCGGUGUGGGUAUAAGUAGACGUCUAUAUGGACAUCGGUGGAUAUCGUUAACCGACGUUUAUAUUGACGUCGGUUAAGAGGAUUUCCGACAUCCCAUGGACGUCACCCUUAUAGACUUCUGUUGUGUAAGUGACGUUAAAAGCCCAAAUUAGCCGACGUUAAACAGCGUUUCUGCACUAGUGACUUUUGAUCUUGUGUUUGUAUGUAGAUGACCUGAUAUUCACUGGGAAUAGUGAGGAAAUGUUUGUUCAAUUCAAGAAGGCCAUGACAUAACAAUUUGAGAUGACAGACAUGGGACUUAUGUCAUACUUUCUUGGCAUUGAAGUACAACAAAGUUAUGAUCAUAUUUUUGUUUCGCAAACAAAAUAUACCACUGAUAUCUUAAAAAAAUUCAAGAUGGAUGAAACUUCCCCAAUUCGAACUCCAGUUACAGAACGCAUGGAGAUGAAGAAAGUUGGUAGUGGAGAAUUUGUGGAUCCAACCUACUUCAAAAGUAUAGUGGGUAGUCUUCGGUAUUUGACAUCCACUAGACCUGAUAUUAUUUACGCGGUUGGACUAAUAAGUCAUUUCAUGGAGAAACCAUAUCAGUCACACUUACAAGCAGCUAAAAGAAUUCUUCGUUAUCUCAAUCGAACUCGAGAUUAUGGAAUCUUUUAUACUUACUCAAAUGACUACAAUUCGGUAGGUUAUAUAGAUAGUGAUUGGGUAGGUGAUAUUGAAACUCGUAAGAGCACCUCAGGAUAUGUAUUCUAUUUGGGAAAUGGAGUUAUAUCAUGGUCUUCCAAAAAGCAACAAGUGGUGGCUCUAUCAACAGCAGAAGCAGAAUAUAUUACAGCAACAUCAGCAGCAUGUCAAGCAAUUUGACUACUGUUGACAAAUUGGCAAGCGUACCAAAUUGUACAAGUAAUAUAAAUGGUAAGACCAAGUAUCGUUUUCCCAAGAGACUCGAAAGGCUUUCUCGUUCACGUGAAUUAAAAUAAUAAGACUUGAAGAUAAAAAUUAAUAAAUUGGAUUUGAGAACAAAAAUAUUAACAUGCAAAAUAAAGUUGAUUCAAUUGACAAAAGAAAACAAUGGAUGAAUGAAUGUUGUUGGGGGUUUACAAUUUCAUCUAAUCCGCCCUCUCUUAUCUACUCCUCUUGAAAAUUAGUUUGAUCAAUUAAUUGUUAUGCAACUUUCUUAGCCUCCCCUUAACCCGAUCCCUCGGCGAAAAGAGCCUAAUAUUAACUACUGGCUUGCUAUCCCUAGCCUCCCCUAGUAAUUAAUACCGCAUUAUAAACAGAAGUUAGCGCAAUUGAUCAUCCUACCCCUACCCCUAGGUGAUAUUGCAAAAUCAAGGAAUUACCAACCAGUUCAUGUCAUUACUGUACGUCCCUAUAUCAAUAAAGACAAACAUUAGUUACCGAAUGAGUUAAACGAUAAAGGCCUUAAGCACAGAUGAUAACCCAACAAUUAUCAAUCAAAACAUAUGGAGACCAUAUAAAUAAUCAAGAGUUUCAAUAAAAGAGAGUAUCAAAAGAUUACAUUGUGUUAGCAAAAAUAAAAGAUGAAGUUUUGAUGAUGAACAAAUUUGCACAAGUCAAGAUCCAUAAAGACAAAUUGAAGAUCUCUGUAUUUUAUAAAGCUUUUAUAAUAAUCAAAGUUGAUGUAAUAGUGCUCAAAUAUGUAUUAGGGUUGAUUCAUGUAACUUAUACUUGAUUUAUUUAUUGUUGAGAAUCAACCACAAGCUGUUUUAAUCGAUUAAACCCAGUUUUAAUCGAUUAAAACGAGGCUGGCACUGAAAACCCAACUGCCCCUGUAAUAAUCGAUUAAAGCUAAUAAUAAUCGAUUAGUUAAUCGAUUAUUCCUGAGAAUAAUCGAUUAACACUAGCCGUUAGGGGUUUCAGAUUCGAAAAACUAGCCGUUGUACUCAUUUUAAUCGAUUAAUACUUAUGUUAAUCGAUUAAAUGCAUUAGAUGGCCCGUUUUCGAAGAAUGGAAGGGUAUUGGGCUGAGUCUAUAAGUUGGCUCACUGUUUAUUUCAAAAACAACUCUUCCCUUGUGCUAAAAACCUCUGAACUCUUUGAGAACUCUGUGAGAUUGUUGAAGCUAAGGAAACUCUUGUCUGCAAAGCUCUGAAGUGCUGCUGCGGUGAUAGAGGAAUAGCUUAUUCAUCCUUGGUGUGUCCGAGGAAGUGCCUGGAAGAGAAUCAUCCUUCGUGAAGCAUUCGAAGGAGGUGGUCAUCCUUUGUGAAGAUUCAAAGGAGGUGUAAGUUCAUCUCUUGUGGUUUCAAGAGAGGUGGUAUUUCUAAACUCUUACAAAUUGUUUUUCUUUGUGAUUAAUAUUUGUAAUUGUUUUGUGAUAGUAAAAAAGUUUAUCCUGUUUGAGAUAAGCGACUGGACGUAGGAUCCGUGUGAUCUGAACCAGGAUAAAAUCACCUGUGCAAUUUUUCUCUUUCCCUUACUCUCUUAUUUAUAUUUAAUUAUCUGCUCAGUAAGAAAAAUUAAGAGAAAAAUAAUAAAAGGCACGAUAAAAGUAUAUAACCAAUUCAACCCCCCCUCUUGGUUUGUUCCACGCUAAUAAUUCCGUUGCAGCGAUUCUAACACAUUGUUUCCCCCAACAACAAUAGGGUUUAGUUCACCAUAGACAUGGUGAAACUAGAUGAAAAAUGGAAGAAGAAUGGAAAAGCAAACCCUAGAAAAGAUGAAAAGGAGCCUAAGCAUCCAAGAGAUCCUCUCCAAAGAGCAAAAUUAGGUCUGGUCGUUCUCCCUUGUCAAAAGAAUGACUCUGAAUUCGCAAUAGAGGUAUUUAUAGGUGAGGAGCGCAUCAGAAAACAGGCCCAGUCCCAACGUACCACCGCCCGACGGUUUAAGUGUGUCGCCCGACGGUUUGCCUCAGAACCGCCCGACGGCAAUCGCCACCGUCCGACGGUUUCCCUCAAAACCGCCCAACAUCAAUCGCCAUGCCUACUCCUCGUCUUGGACCGCCCGGCGGUUCAAGUGUGCUACUGGGCGGUGCGUCGACUCUUCAAAUCUUCAAUUUUCUUCUCUUUUCUUGAGUCUCCGACCUUUAUCUUCAGCCCCAUUCUUCAUUUCCUCAAAAUAGCUACAAAACAAUGCAAAAUAAGCAUAAUAUCGCUAAAAACAACUUUUGACUCUCUACAGACUCAUUUAUUGAGUUUUGCUUGAUUCUAGGCUCAUUCCAAGUAGUAAAGGGCGUAAUUUGGUCCAAGUUGACAUAUGAAAAUAAUUGUUUUUCAACCUUCAUCAGCUACGUAGAAUAUUAAAAGAGUUAAAAGAUAUUCAAGUUGAUCUGACGACUAUUCAAUGCGAUAACAAAUCCGCUAUGGCAUUAGCGAAGAAUCCUGUGUUCCACGGACGGAGCAAACAUAUAGACAUUCGUUAUCAUUACAUUAGGGAGUUGAUCAAGCAAGAAGAAAUUGAACUCCAAUUCUGCAAGUCUGAAGAACAAGUUGCAGACAUUAUGAUUAAACCAUUGAAGGCCAAUUUGUUUGAAAAGUUUAGAGCAAUGCUUGGAAUCAAGCUACCAAAUGAAGAAUAUUCAAGUUUGAGGGGACGUGUUGAAAAUAACAAACUUAAAUAUAGGAAACUAUAUUAAAAAAUUUCUUUAUGUCCGUAUAUAUUUUAAUGGUCAUAGUUAUAAUUGAAUGUAAACCAUUAUUUCUUUAGUAGUUAAAAACUUAUAUAAAGAACUUCUUUAUUCAAAAAGAAAUAAUAAUAAUAACAAGUAGUUUGUUAUAAAGUUUCUUCCCUUCUCCUAUUUUAAGUAUUUUUAGUGAAUUUAGGAAUCAACAAAUUUCUGUUCUACACUCUACUUGUGGUGUUUUUGUUGGCUCCUUUUUCGACUACUGUUCUCUCUAAUUUGGACCUUCAAAACAUUUAAACUUGCGAAUCUAUAUAUAAUAUUUUCCUAACAAGUACGUUGAGAAAUUAAUUUUUCUUCUUAAUUCAAUUAUAGGUUAUUUCAUAUAUUUAUGCAUUAAAUACAACUACUACUGCCAAAAUAUUAUUAAUGAACUUCUAAUCUUAAACAGCUAUCCAAUUAUUACUAAAGUACUAUUUGUUGAACUCCAUAGUUAUUACAAAAAACUACUCUAAUUUUUUGCAUUUUUCCGAUUACCAUCAUUUAAGUUUACUUAACAUCAAUUGUCAUAAUUCUAGUGACAAUGUCAGAUGUGCCUUCGUUCUUGCUGCCUAGAUAUAAUAAUCAUCACCACUAAACGCAGGGAAUGCUAGUGUUGGGUAUGGUAUGGUGUUUCAGAAUACAUUUAAUUGGUGAAUUGAAACAAGAGGUUUUGGGCUUUUGUGUUGGGUUACACUUGUUCACUUACAGGUCCCUCUAAAAAAGAGGUGUUUCACUUUACACCUCCAACGAUUUCAUUAUGUACCUCCAAUUUUUAUAAUUGCCAUCUGUUUAAUGAGAUCGGUGAGAAGUAAAUGAUUUUUACUUAAUUAAGUGGUUGAUCGAAUUCAUUUAAUGAGCCUCCAAGUUUAUAAACUUCUUGGUAGAGCUGUUGCUGCGUUCGUGGUUGCCACUGAAACCAAGGGAGUAAUUGUUUUGAAGCUUUUCGCGUGGAACAAGUAUAUAAAUCCAUUACAAAGUUCAUAAGUCUCAGUCAGAUUUCAAUAUUGACCCAAUCGGAUAUUGAAUGAAUAUUGAAAUUCGAGUACUACUCCAUCUAAUUUCGAAAUCCGAAUAUUACUCCGAUGAAAGAAAAAUAAAAUUUCAAUAUUCGAUAGAGUGACAUUCAGAUUUCUACAUCCGAUAAUAUUUUUGUCGAAUUCGGAUUUUCACAUCAAUACGUUAAACUUUAUUUUUAUACAAUGGUUAUGAUUGAUUUCAAAUUGUAAUUUUACAUGUUUUAUAUACAUUGUCAGAUAAUAAUAAUCAAAUCAAUAUGAGUGGAUUUUCAAUUGUAGUUUUAUAUACAUUGUGAAACACUUAUAAUAAUAAUUAAAUCAAUGGAUGACUGUAUUUUUUAAAUGCAUCAUGGCUUUCGAAAAUUUUAAUUCAAUAUUUAUUAAAUUUUAAUGAUUUAUUAUAAAAUUAUAAUUUUUUAAUUGAUUUGAUAUUAUUAUUUUUUUUAAUCUUUUAUACAAAAUUUUUUGAGAUGGCUUUCCAAAUUUUAAAUUCAAUAUUUAUUAAAUUUUAAAUUUUACAAAAUAAAAAAUUUAUAAAAUAAAUAUUAAAUAUUUACAAAAAAUAUUAUUUAAUUAAAAAUAUAUUUAAUUAAUUCAAAUAUUUAUAUACUUAUAAAAUCUUAAUAUUUCAUUAAAAAAAUAACAAAAUAUCUUAAAAUUAUAAAAUAUUAAAAAAACUAUAAAACAUUAAAUAAUUCAAAACAACAAAAUUUAAUAAAAAUAUAAUUAAUUAAUAAAUUAAAAUAAAUAUAUAUGUAUCAAAUAGUAAAAUUUUAUUAACAAUAAAACAAAUUAUAAUCACACAAAUUUUAAAAAAUUAUAAAUUUUAUUUAAAAUGAAAUUAAAUCAAUAAAAAAAAUUAUAACUGAAAUAACUGAAUCAGUUUUCGAAACGCGAAAAAGCUUCUAUCUAAUGUCAAAAACCGAUUUCACAAAACCCACUUCUAAUCCCUCGCAUUUCUCUCUUCCAAAAUAACUUCUAUCCCCUUACAUUUCUAAUCAUACAGAUUCUAAUACACAUGCAACCUAAUUCAACAUUUAGAAACAUGCUAUAAUGAAUAAAAAUUUAACAAAGGAACCAAUGAACGAAUGCACUAAUCUUUUCAGCAACGAAAUGAAAAUGUAGGAAGAAGAUAUCGAAAUGCAGCAAAAUAAAAGAACAAGGUGAAGCUGGAGGAACGAAGAAGAAGAAGAAGCUAGAUUGGAUCUAUGUAGAGAAAGCAAAGAAAAGAAGAGGGAAACUGAGAUUCCAAAGAGAAAGAGAAAUAUGCUUCGAAAAAGUAGAAAGCUGUUAAAAAUUGGAAGUGAAAAAUAACGAAAAAAAAAGAGACUAUUGAUAUGGUGGUGAAAGCACGUUAUACUCACAGGAGAAAAAAUGAUAAAUUUAUUCAAUAAAAAUCUAUUUUAUAAAUAGAUAUUGAACAAAAACAAAAUAAAAAAUUGUAAAAGCAGCAAAUACUGAGUAAUUUAAAAUAAAUAACGACCUAAAAACUUGCAUGGAAACAAAAAAACUGUUAAAAAAUGCGCACGUUCAACAUAACUUAACGUGGCUAACAUACAGAGAAAUAAAAACAUUAACUAAUAUGUAAUAAUAUUUUAACACAAACUUUUUAAAUUCAUUUGAUAUUAUUUUUCUUAUUUUUCACUCUCUUUUUUGUCUCUUUUGAAUCACGCGUGCUUGCAUCAACAGAUUACGAAGUCUUCUUUCCAUGAAGUUUGACUUUUGGUGAACGGUGAGGAUGAUGUAUGGUCUAAAGUCCAAAAAGGAAGCACGAAGGGAAUGAGUGUCAAUACGACGAUUCCUACAAAAAAGUCCUUGUACGACCAUGAAUUUUGUAGAACUAUUCCAAGCGCAGCACAGAAGGCAAUCAUCAUGGACACUAGGGACAGGGAAAGGAAGUUAAUCGCUGACAUUAUCAUGGCGGGCAAUAUUUCUAGGAAGUCUAUUGGAGCAUAACGCGAUGCUAUAAGCUUAAUGUAUAUCCAUACUGUACUGAUAGAAGUCAAGAGAGAGAUUACAUCAGCUACAAUAAACACAAUAAACCGUUUUUCCUUUAUCAGAAUCGGCAUUCCAGUGUCUUGAUGGAGACCCCCUGGGACUGUGAAUAUUGCAGUGAACAUGACAGUUAUAACGAGAACACCUACAAUUGCAAAUGUCCCAGCUGUUUCCUUUAUCCAUUUUUCUCCAUCUUUCAUCAGCUCCUUGUGCGUUUCAAUAAAUAUAUCUUUAGGCUUCUUACCUUCAUCGUUUUUGGCUUCUCUACAUUUGACAUGCACAACUUCCUCCACCGCCUGCACUCAUUUCAUCCAAGUUAAUGUAUGCAUGGAUAAUAUAUUGCACUAGAGAGAGAAAAAACUAACGAAGAUGAAUGCACCUUAAACCAUUCAAUUUCUCUUUUCAUUUGCCAAGCACCAGUGGGUCUGCUAUUCAUAUCAGACAAAGGUCCUAAAUGUGCCGCCAAGUGCAAUAAGUUAUUACCAAACAUGUCUGUUGAAUAGUUAAUUAUAUCCUUAUUUCCACAGAGGGUAAGCAUGAGUUGGAAGACAUUGCGUUUGCGAUGAAGAACCGCAUACGAAAGUAUGUCUCUUCCAUGAUCGUCCAUUGCCCAUAAGAGGUCAUGGUUAGCCUCCC
rnacentral:lncRNA from 1 species